ACAUGCAAGUCGAACGGAAACGAUGGAAGCUUGCUUCCAGGCGUCGAGUGGCGGACGGGUGAGUAAUACUUAGGAAUCUGCCUAUUAGUGGGGGACAACUCGAGGAAACUCGAGCUAAUACCGCAUACGCCCUACGGGGGAAAGCGGGGGAUCUUCGGACCUCGCGCUAAUAGAUGAGCCUAAGCCGGAUUAGCUAGUUGGUGGGGUAAAGGCCUACCAAGGCGACGAUCCGUAGCUGGUCUGAGAGGACGAUCAGCCACACUGGGACUGAGACACGGCCCAGACUCCUACGGGAGGCAGCAGUAGGGAAUAUUAGACAAUGGGCGAAAGCCUGAUCUAGCAAUGCCGCGUGUGUGAAGAAGGCCUGAGGGUUGUAAAGCACUUUCAAUAGUGAAGAAAAGCUUAGGGUUAAUACCCUUGAGUGUUGACGUUAACUAUACAAGAAGCACCGGCUAACUCCGUGCCAGCAGCCGCGGUAAUACGGAGGGUGCAAGCGUUAAUCGGAAUUACUGGGCGUAAAGCGCGCGUAGGCGGUUAAGUAAGUCGGAUGUGAAAGCCCAGGGCUCAACCCUGGAAUUGCAUUCGAUACUGCUUAACUAGAGUAUGGUAGAGGGAAGUGGAAUUUCAAGUGUAGCGGUGAAAUGCGUAGAUAUUUGAAGGAACACCAGUGGCGAAGGCGACUUCCUGGGCCAAUACUGACGCUGAGGUGCGAAAGCGUGGGGAGCGAACAGGAUUAGAUACCCUGGUAGUCCACGCCGUAAACGAUGAGAACUAGAUGUCGGGGGGGUUGCCCUUCGGUGUCGCAGCUAACGCGUUAAGUUCUCCGCCUGGGGAGUACGCCGGCAACGGUAAAACUCAAAGGAAUUGACGGGGACCCGCACAAGCGGUGGAGCAUGUGGUUUAAUUCGAUGCAACGCGAAGAACCUUACCUGCCCUUGACAUACUCGGAACUAGUCAGAGAUGACCUGGUGCCUUCGGGAGCCGAGUUACAGGUGCUGCAUGGCUGUCGUCAGCCCGUGUCGUGAGAUGUUUGGGGUUAAGUCCCGCAACGAGCGCAACCCUU
rnacentral:rRNA from 1 species